rnacentral:rRNA from 1 species
GACGAACGCUGGCGGCGUGCUUAACACAUGCAAGUCGAACGGGCCCGCCCCUGUUUUUGGGGGUGGGUUGAGUGGCGAACGGGUGAGUAUCACGUGAGUAACCUGCCCCCUGCUCCUGGAUAACUGCUUGAAAGGGCGGCUAAUACGGGGUGUGCCGGCUGGUCCGCAUGGGCCUGGUCGGGAUAGUUUCAUCUUCGGGUGUUUCGGUGGGGGAUGGGCUCGCGGCCUAUCAGCUUGUUGGUGGGGUGAUGGCCCACCAAGGCGGUGACGGGUAGCCGGCCUGAGAGGGUGGGCGGCCACACUGGGACUGAGACACGGCCCAGACUCCUGCGGGAGGCAGCAGUGGGGGGUAUUGCACAAUGGGCGGAAGCCUGAUGCAGCGACGGCGCGUGAGGGAUGGAGGCCUUCGGGUUGUGAACCUCUUUCUCCGGUGGUGAAGGCCCUGUCCGUUGCGGCGGGGUUGACGGUGGCCGGGUAUGAAGCGCCGGCUAACUACGUG